rnacentral:misc_RNA from 1 species
GAAGACACGUGGAAUGGGAGCUGGACGCAAGCUGAAGUCCCACCGCAGAAGACAAAGGUGGGCUGACAAGUCCUACAAGAAGUCCCAUCUUGGUAACGAAUGGAAGAAGCCAUUUGCUGGAUCUUCCCAUGCUAAAGGCAUUGUGCUCGAGAAGAUAGGUAUUGAGGCUAAACAGCCAAAUUCUGCUAUUCGUAAAUGUGCUAGGGUUCAACUCAUCAAGAAUGGGAAAAAGAUUGCUGCUUUUGUCCCUAAUGAUGGUUGCUUGAACUACAUCGAAGAAAACGAUGAAGUGCUGAUUGCUGGAUUUGGUCGUAAAGGUCACGCCGUGGGAGAUAUUCCCGGAGUUCGUUUCAAGGUGGUGAAGGUUCUGGUGUCUCUCUUCUAGCUCUCUUCAAGGAGAAGAAGGAGAAGCCA